GGGCGCUCCCUGAACUGGGCUCUUCAACGCAAACAUUUGGGACGGCGUUGCGGGGAAGUAUGUCAUCAGCUCCAUUUUACAUUAGAAACUGAGCAAAUUAACUGUCCCAGAACAAAGCAGGAUUCUAUUACCCUUAACCUCUGCCUCUUCCUCACAUUCACCAGGCUGGGAAUGAAGAGGUCUCCUGGCAUAAUCUCCCUUCAGUCUGUUCCCAGCCAUCCAUCCAUUCAUUCAACGAUACUUGCCAGCCUUUGUACCAGCCAGUCCAUCAGUUAGAGCCACUUGCUCCCCGCGCAACCUCCUGGAGGUUUCGACCAAAGUUCUUACCAGAAAUACCAGAUUUGUAAAAAAAAAAAACCCUACUCACCUAAUGGACUAUGACACCUUCCCAAAGUAAUACUGGUGCCUCGACCAAAUGACUGAGGAGUGCCGAGGACUUACCUCACAACAGUUCUGCAAGGUAGGUCCAUUAUUAUGCCCAUUUAACAGAUGAGAAAACAGGCCUGAGGCACAGAGAAGUAACAACUAGUAAGCUGAGGAGCCAGAAUUAGAACCAAGAGUCUGUACCUCAGCAUCCUAGCUGGGGUGAGUAAGAGAGGUGGUCCCAAGGUGGACUUCAGGUACACAUUACCUAUUGGCCAUUGGCUCCAGGAGUCCUUUCCCACUUCUCUUUUCUACCCCCUGUAUGACAGGAUAUCAAUGGCACUGCAUCUUCCUUGAUUUAAGUUCCCCCAAUGUGGCGCACUGAUGGGAGUUUGGAAGGCAGGUAGGAGGCAGAGCCAUCUUUCUGUGCCCUUUGAGGUCGCAAAAAGCUCUAGCUUUAGUGGCUGUUUGAAGGAGUCCACUUACCAGCUUCGUGGGUGUGGGGUGACUGUGACAGCCACAAUGGCAGUAGCAAUGACAAGUUUUCUGACUUUUUGAAGCCUCUGAACUGUCCAAGAGCUUAAGGAAAGAAAAUGACAAGCUCAAGCAUGGUCAGAGGACACAAAUUUUUAUGGUUGAGGGGAAAAUCUUCUUACUUCUUGUAGCCUCAGGGCUGAUAGAGCAAAAAUCAGGUGCAGAGUCUAAUACUACAGGGUAGCAGAAAUACUAUAUAACUUUUUGUUGUUGUUCUUUUAAAGCUUUAUUGAACUGUAGUUGAGUUGUAAUGUUGUGAUAAUUUCUCCUGUACAACAAAGUGAUUCAGGUAUACAUAUAUGCAUAACCAUUCUCUAUUAGAUUCUUUUCCCUUAUAGCUUAUCACCGAAUAUUUUUUUUAAAGUAGAGUUCCCUGUGCUAAACAGCAGGUCCUCAUUGACAUUCUUUCCAUUACAAUGGUGUGCAUAUGCGGGAGUUCCCGUCGUGGCGCAGUGGUUAACGAAUCCGACUAGGAACCAUGAGGUUGCGGGUUCGGUCCCUGCCCUUGCUCAGUGGGUUAACGAUCUGGCGUUGCCGUGAGCUGUGGUGUAGGUUGCAGACGCGGCUCGGAUCCUGCGUUGCUGUGGCUCUGGCGUAGGCCGGUGGCUACAGCUCGGAUUCAACCCCUAGCCUGGGAACCUCCAUAUGCCGCGGGAGCGGCCCAAGAA
rnacentral:lncRNA from 1 species